GAAUUAAAAAAAAAAAAAAAACUUUAUUUGGUGGGGGACUUGGUUUGGUUAAUUGGGCAUUGGACCUUAUCUAGGCCUUGAGGCUGGGCCUGAAGUAGAGCUAAACAAAAUGAUAAACACUGAUUAUCAAAAUGCAAGUGGCCCAAUUUAUUACUGUAUAAAAUAUUCCACCAAUGGAAAGGAAAAUCACAGCGACUAAGGUAGAAAUGCCAUUGUUUGUUCAUCAUUAAAGAAUUGUGCUAGCGUUUAGAAAUAAUAGGAUUUAGUUUGAUUGUAAAACGAUAAAUAUUUUAGGUUCCAGCUAGUUUUUUCAAAAUUUUGUAUUGAAUUCAAAACUUU
rnacentral:misc_RNA from 1 species